UGACCAGACUCCUACGGGAGGCAGCAGUGAGGAAUAUUGGUCAAUGGGCGGGAGCCUGAACCAGCCAAGCCGCGUGAGGGAAGAAGGUACAGCGUAUCUUAAACCUCUUUUGUCAGGGAACAAAGGCGGGGACUAGUCCCCGGAUGAGGGUACCUGAAGAAUAAGCACCGGCUAACUACGUGCCAGCAGCCGCGGUAAUACGUAGGGUGCGAGCGUUAAUCGGAAUUACUGGGCGUAAAGGGUGUGCAGGCGGCUGAGUAAGACAGAUGUGAAAUCCCCGGGCUUAACCUGGGAACCGCAUAUGUGACUGCUUGGCUAGAGUGCGUCAGAGGGAGGUGGAAUUCCACGUGUAGCAGUGAAAUGCGUAGAUAUGUGGAAGAACACCGAUGGCGAAGGCAGCCUCCUGGGACGCAACUGACGCUCAUACACGAAAGCGUGGGGAGCAAACAGGAUUAGAUACCCCCGUA
rnacentral:rRNA from 1 species